rnacentral:tRNA from 1 species
GGAGGGCUACGCCUAACUGGUAAGGCAUCGGUCUUGAAAACCGACGCGCGUUGAGCGCUUGGGGGUUCGAGUCCCUCGCCCUCCG